ACAAAAUAUAUAAAUUCUGGUACAAGUUCUUUGGAAAAUUUUAAUGAAAAAAAAUUGCAUUUGUUAGCAAUUUAGAGAAAAAAAUCUAAUAUUAGGCUUGCCAUAAGUCCGAGAUUGGCCCAGACUCUUCUGGAUUUCAAUAGUUAUCUGGGAUUUUGUCCAGGGCUUUAAAAUAUUCUGGAUUUCAAAUUUUCUUAGUUCUAGUAUUUAGCAACAUCUUAUUUGUUUAGAUCAAUCAGCUCUUUGCAUGUAUUGUAGUUGAGUAGCAACAUAGUAAUCUUAUUGACUACAGGACCAAGUAUUGCACAUGUGGAAUAAGGUUUUGUUUUAGUUAUUACAUCAACUGGCAAAUUUAGAGUUUCAAAUGUAAAUUAAAUCUUAAAUAGUAGUAAAAGAAAAUGCAGGUUUACAGGCAAAGUUAGAGUACAAAUAUUUAUUAAAGCAAAGUGAGAAUGAAAGUUGUGCAUAUAUAAAAGUUAAUGCAAUAUUCAAUUAGUUAUACUCAGUUUUAGCUGCAGAAUGUUUCUGGUUGCUAAUUAGGAGGAGAUCCUCUAAUUCUCCUUAAAGCCUUAGAGGAAUCGACUAAGAUCAAAACCUAAUAUCCAAUCCAUACCGUCGUGUAGUGCAGCUGUUAGUACUCAAUGUUUCUUUAUGAAGAACAGACAUGGAUGGGCUCACACCAACCCGCAUUGGCCAACAUGGUGUGUUUUGGCUAAAACCUUUAAGAAUAACAAACAGUUUAACAAAUCUAAGGCUCUCAGUCCCUGGCAGCUGGAAUGUCCCUACUGAUGGUAGCAAGCAGGUUUACAGGAAGGCAGAGAGUGCAAAGAAUCAUCAGGUCAGCUGCCAUGGAUUUUAUUUAGCAACUUACAACUGCAGAACUUUCAGCAUCAAAAGAAAACUAGAAAUUGAAGAGGAACUGAAACACAUUAAAUGAGAUAUUUUAAGUUUAAGUGAAAUUCGACACAUAGAUGAAGAAUUAUUAGAAUUAAAAAGCCGAAAUCUUUUGUGUUCUAGAAAUGCGGAUGAUGGAAGAUGCAAUGGAAGUGGAUUUUUGAUAAACAAAAGAAUAAAGGAUAAUUAAUCAUUAUAUAACAACUUCUCAG
rnacentral:lncRNA from 1 species